UAGGGAAUCUUCGGCAAUGGACGAAAGUCUGACCGAGCAACGCCGCGUGAGUGAAGAAGGUUUUCGGAUCGUAAAACUCUGUUGUUAGAGAAGAACAAGGACGUUAGUAACUGAACGUCCCCUGACGGUAUCUAACCAGAAAGCCACGGCUAACUACGUGCCAGCAGCCGCGGUAAUACGUAGGUGGCAAGCGUUGUCCGGAUUUAUUGGGCGUAAAGCGAGCGCAGGCGGUUUCUUAAGUCUGAUGUGAAAGCCCCCGGCUCAAGCGGGGAGGGUCAUUGGAAACUGGGGGACUUGAGUGCAGAAGAGGAGAGUGGAAUUCCAUGUGUAGCGGUGAAAUGCGUAGAUAUAUGGAGGAACACCAGUGGCGAAGGCGGCUCUCUGGUCUGUAACUGACGCUGAGGAUCGAAAGCAUGGGGGGCAAACAGG
rnacentral:rRNA from 1 species